rnacentral:rRNA from 1 species
UCCUGGCUCAGAUUGAACGCUGGCGGCAUGCUUUACACAUGCAAGUCGAGCGGCAGCGCGGGGGCAACCCUGGCGGCGAGCGGCGAACGGGUGAGUAAUGCAUCGGAACGUACCCUGGAGUGGGGGAUAACGCCGCGAAAGCGGCGCUAAUACCGCAUAUGCUCUGAGGAGGAAAGUGGAGGACCGCAAGGCCUCACGCUCUGGGAGCGGCCGAUGUCCGAUUAGCUAGUUGGUGAGGUAAAAGGCUUACCAAGGCGACGAUCGGUAGCUGGUCUGAGAGGAUGAUCAGCCACACUGGGACUGAGACACGGCCCAGACUCCUACGGGAGGCAGCAGUGGGGAAUUUUGGACAAUGGGGGCAACCCUGAUCCAGCCAUGCCGCGUGAGUGAAGAAGGCCUUCGGGUUGUAAAGCUCUUUUGGUCGGGAAGAAAGUGCCCUGCUUAAUACGCGGGGUAUUUGACGGUACCGGCAGAAUAAGCACCGGCUAACUACGUG